AAGCCAUCAACUAGAACCUGUGGCUCUGUGUGUGUGUGUCUACAUGCUCUGUACGUGUAUCUAUACAUGAGUGUGUAGAUACAUGUGCCUAUGUGUUCAUGCCUCCGGGUUAGAGGCUGAAGUUAAGCACCUUCCUGUCUCCUUUCUACCAUACUUAUAUUUUGUAUUUCCCCCCCCAUGGUUGUGUGUAUAUCUACAUGGGGGUGAGCACAAGGCUUUUUGUUUGUUUGAGACAGUUUCUCUGUGAGCCCUGGCUGUCCUGGAACUCUCGCUGUGCCUGCCUCUGCACCCUGAGUGCUGGAACUGAAUGCGUGUUCUACCACACCCAUUGUCUGGGUUCCUUUUCUUUUUUUCUUUUUUUCUUUUUCUUUUUUUUUUUUUUUUGGUUCUUUUUCUCGGAGCUGUGGGUUCCUUUUCUUAACUUCCCUCCGCUGCUAUGUUUUGAGGCAGGGUCUCUCACUAAACCUGAAGCGUGUUGUCUGAGCUAGGAUAGCCACCAAAAGAGCUUCAGGGACCCACCAUCUCUGGCUGCCCAGUGUUGGGGUUACAGAAGUCAAUGAGCUCUGAACAUGGCUGCUGGAGAUCCAAUCUCAAGUCCUCAUGCUUGCCAGGGAGACAAUUUGCCCAUUGAAUCACCUCUCCACCCCUGUACCUUAAGAACAUGACUAUAGUCUAUUUCAUAUUUUAGAUAGGGUCUUGCUGUGUAGCCCUCGAUGAUCUGGAACUCUGUGUGAACCAGGCUGGCCUUGAAUUCUUGUGGAUCUGCCUGCCUCUCCCUUCCCAGUGUUGGAAUCAAAGGUGUGUAAGUCUGUUGUGGUUUGCCCAGAAGUUAUCUGUAUUUUGAUGCUAAUUCCACUGCCCCAAGGACAGCUGCCUAGUCACCUUCUCAGGAAUCAGGUGACUUCACCAGAAUCUCCCCAUUGAAUUUGUAAAGUACAGGUGAGGGGCAGGCACGGGAUAGAAGGAGGCCUGUCCUUGGAGGAGAAGGAAGGUGGGCUGGAGAGAAGUUUGAAGGAAGAGGAGGAGACUAGAACGGAAAGAGAGAGACAGGAGGGGAGGGAGAGAAGCCGUGGCAGGACAAUAUGGAGGCUGACGUUAAGAUUCCGCGCUGUAUCUUUACAGGUUUGGCAUUGCGGUGCCUCAAGAUAUCUGCUAGAUAUCUUGGUGGAAAUGAAAGACCCCCCGGAGCGGGGAGACCCUCACUCAAGACUCGGGAUGAUGCGACCCCUCCCCAAGAACUCACAAACACAUCCCAACUCCUCGGUGCCUCAAGAUAUCUGCUAGAUAUCUUGGCGGAAACACAUCCCAACUCCUCGGCGGCCCAGUGUCUCCAGCCAUCGCACGCUCUCCUACACUCAAACCGUGACAUAAAAGAACACCCAACACAAUAAUCUUUGACCCAACCGGGUUUCUCUCCAUAUCCCUGGCUGUCCUGGACUCACUUUGUAGACCAGGCUGGUCUCAAACUCACAGAGAUCUGCCCGCCUCUGCCUCCCGAGUGCUGGGAUUAAAGGUGUGUACACCA